UAGGGAAUCUUCCGCAAUGGACGCAAGUCUGACGGAGCAACGCCGCGUGAGUGAAGAAGGAUUUCGGUUCGUAAAACUCUGUUGUUAGAGAAGAACAGCGCAUAGAGUAACUGUUAUGCGUGUGACGGUAUCUAACCAGAACGCCACGGCUAACUACGUGCCAGCAGCCGCGGUAAUACGUAGGUGGCAAGCGUUGUCCGGAUUUAUUGGGCGUAAAGCGAGGGCAGGCGGUCAAUUAAGUCUGAUGUGAAAGCCCCCGGCUCAACCGGGAAGGGUCAUUGGAAACUAGUUGACGUGAGUGCAGAAGGGGAGAGUGGAAUUCCAUGUGUAGCGGUGAAUAGCGUAGAUAUAUGGAGAAACACCAGUGGCAAAGGCGACUCUCUGGUCUGUAUCAGACGCUGAGGCUCGAAAGCGUGGGUAGAAAACAGG
rnacentral:rRNA from 1 species